UGUAUAUUCUUUGCUGUUUUGUAAUUAGAACUGUCUCGAAUUUUCGUACUUUAGAUCGUUUACUUUUGGAAGUACCUCGUAUAUUAAAUAAGCAAAUCCCCUAGCAAUUAAUUAUCUAACUAGACUAGUUCUAAAGAACACUCGUUCUGUUACAAACCUUGAGAUACAAAUAAUAUAUUUUGGCAGUAAGGCCUUCCAUUUCGUUUACGUGUAAUUAGUCGACGAGACUGUGUAUUUUUAGAUUUUAAAAUUCUAGGCGCCUAAGUCGGACAUCGAACCUUUUACCGAAUACACAAACGCAAAAUAAUGUACUUAUUUACACACAUACGGUCUUAUUUAUAUGUUUUAUUGUUUCUGUACAGAUUGUCCAUGACUUACAGUGAUAACGGAACGAUCAUGGUGCACCGCAUUGAUUCAGUGUACUUACGAAUAAAUACUUAGUACCUAAAAAAUUGACAAAUUUCUACUCGAAAUUUAGUUAUUUUAAAACUAGUGAUCUGCAGUCUUAGAAAACCACCUGUAGAGGCGUUUCCUGCUGCAAUUAACAUUACAAUUCGUUUUGGCGUAUUAAUUCAAAGUUUGUUACGAACCCUUAAUGGAUGGAGUGGAAAUUAACAGGGUCUACACCGUGCAAUAGUAAAGCAUUAGAAGGGAUGGAAGACUGCGAAAACUGUAGUAGGUGUAAAUAAUGAAUUUGAUUUAAGAAAUAAAUGAAGAAAUUACAGAAAAUGUUCAAUGUAUGUUAUCAAAUGUUGAAAUAAAUGCAAAAAAUAUGUCUCA